rnacentral:lncRNA from 1 species
AAUGAUAAUAAUAAUGACAACAGCAACAAUGGCGCUAACAACAAUAACAGUAAGAGGAAACAUUUCUCGAGUGUUAGUCACUAGGUGGCGGGCACUGGCCGCUGUGAUGUGAGCACUGUUGUUAUGCCAUGCCCAUGUGGAUGUUUGGGCUGAAUCUCAGAGACUUCCCAGCAUUUCUGCCCUCCGGAAGGAGAUGGCGCGGUGUUUUGCCGAAAGAGGCAAGAGAGGGCCGCCCGCCCACAGGCCUCAGAUUGGAAGGUAUGAAGAAAGUUCACCCAGUUCUGGAGGGCAGCCCUGGAGUAGUGCCCACUCGGAUCAGAAGGUGCCCAGGCUCAGGGCAGAGUGCUCGACAUUCCUAAUAACAGCCAAAUGGCCUUCAUGCAUUAAUCACCAUGUCCUCGGCCCUUGGGACUGGAGUCUUUGCCCAGGUAAUAGAGAACCCAGCUUGAACAGAGCCUGUCCUGUUUGCCAACGGGUAAGCACGCAGGUCCUGGAGCCCAGCUGGGCACGGAGACUGCCUCUGCCGCUUGGUAGCUGUGGGACUCUUGGCAAGUCGCUGAUCCUCUCUGAGCCUCAGUUUCCUCAUCUGUAACAUGGGGUAACAACAUUGCCAACCUCAGAGGAAGAUGGGUGCGGAUGUUAGCUCAGGGCUGGUCUUCCUCAGCAAAAAGAGGAGGAUUAGCAGCAGUUAGCUCAGGGUUAACCUUCCUCAAAAAGCAAAAAGCAAAAAACAAAACAAAACAACAACAACAAAGAUCGCCAAUCUCGGACGGUUGUCAUGAAGAUUAAAUGAGACAGUAAUCAGAGCUGUAGCGUGGUGCCUGGCGGGGAGCCGAGGUCCUCGAGCGGGGGCUCUUGGUUCAUGGGUGGUUCCUAUCCCCUCACUCAGGCCUCCUCGCGCCGCCACAGGACCCCCCUCCCCGCCGAGUCAACUCCACCUUGUCCUUUAGAUCUCAGUUUAAACACCACCUCCUCAGGGAGGGCCCCCUGCACCUCCAGUCUGGGCCGCCCUCUUUGUUAGAGCUGCUCAUUUGCCUUCUGUGUUCUUCACAGCAGAAGCAAGAUGUGUCCCCAAGUCUGAGGGGACGCCUGCCUGGCUGGGUCGCUGCGGCUUGCAUCC